GUUCGAUACUUUAUUGCCUUAUAGAUAGAUAGAUAAAUGCAAUCUUAUUUAUACAGGGUAAUUCCUUCAGUGUAAAAACACUGGUAUGAAUGGAACCUUAAAUAAUUGUCGACUGGGUCUUCGUUUACACCUACAUGCAAUUUGGAUAAAAGUGACUAUAUAUGUAGAGAUAAAUAGCAGAGCCCAGCAAAGGGCUCUGCUCUUUAUCUUCAAACUAAGAUUUCCGCCUGGUGAAAAUUUCAAUUGCCACAUAUAAUUAUGUAGAGCUUUGAAUGCAAACACCAUUCAACAUGAUUUGAGAGACAAGGCCAUAAUUAUGGAGGGAAACACCGUUACGCUUCUAUUUGUUUAUAAGUUGCGAAUAAAUUUGACCCCGAAUUUGUACCAUUUCUUAUAGAUGUGCUAACUACUAGUUACAGGCACCUACCUCCGAAAGCCGAAGUUUGACAUAAUCAACACUACGACGAUAAGGACUUCGAGUAGUAUCAGACGUCCAGACAGCAGAAAUGUCGUCAACCAAACAUUCGAGCUGUUGCAACGCUUUUACUGGUUGAAUGUUAAUAUCAAAGGAAUCUACAUAAAAUCCACUCCACUUCGGAAAAAAUUCUUGAAAGAAUGCUCGUCUGUUAUCCAAUGCAGCUCCAGAAGAAAAAGAUGUUAAUCUAUCCCAUGUAGAUGGUUCAGGAUAUAUAAAUCCAUCGUACUUGUGGAAGGUUUC